rnacentral:tRNA from 1 species
GCCGGGGUGGCGAAAUGGCAGACGCAUCAGCUUUAGGAGCUGACGCCCGAAAGGGUAUGGAGGUUCAAGUCCUCUCCCCGGCA